rnacentral:rRNA from 1 species
AACGUAGGGGACAAGCGUUAUCCGGAUUUACUGGGCGUAAAGCGCCCGUAGGCGGCCUGACAAGUUGGACGUGAAAGCUCCUGGCUUAACUGGGAGAGGCCGUUCAAAACUGUCAAGCUAGAGUCUGGAAGAGGAGAGCGGAAUUCCCGGUGUAGUGGUGGAAUGCGUAGAUAUCGGGAGGAACACCUAUGGCGAAGGCAGCUCGCUGGGACGUUACUGACGCUGAGACGCGAAAGCGUGGGGAGCAAACAGGG